rnacentral:rRNA from 1 species
AUUGAACGCUGGCGGCAGGCCUAACACAUGCAAGUCGAACGAGUGGCGGACGGGUGAGUAAUGUCUGGGAAACUGCCCGAUGGAGGGGGAUAACUACUGGAAACGGUAGCUAAUACCGCAUACCAUCGGAUGUUCCCAGAUGGGCUUAGCUUGUAGGUUGGGUAACGGGUAACCUAGGCGACGAUCCCUAGCGGGUCUGAGAGGAUGACCAGCAACACGGGAACUGUGACCGGGUCAAGACUCCUACGGUAGGCAGCAGUUGGGUAUAGUGCACAAUGGGCGCAAGCCUGAUGCAGCCAUGCCGCGUGUAUGAAGAAGGCCUUCGGGUUGUAAAGUAAUUUCAGUGGGGAGGCGUUACCCGCAGAAGAAGCACCGGCUAACUCCGUGCCAGCAGCCGCGGUAAUAC